rnacentral:lncRNA from 1 species
CUCAAUCAUUCUGUAGAUUCAGUUACUUAAAACAUAACUUUCUGAUAGUAUGAGAUCUUUCAAAGCAGUACCUUAGCACACACACUUAAAAUGAGAUAUCAAUUCAACAUUAACUGUGAUCUCUCCUGAAACAGCGUAAGUCUAUCUCUUCACGUUUGAUCUCCUCAUAUUUUUCUGUAUUGCAGGUGUUCAAAUAUUUAUCUUCACAACCUAGAGCAUAUUAGUCCUCAAAGGUCUUUCAAAGGAUUUUUCAAGAAACAGCAAACUUCUUUCAGAACAAAUGAUCACGCUGACUGCUAUUCAAGUGUAUAAUGUUGCAUCAUCUUCAACACAGCAUUACGCCUAGAUGCCCAAAUUCUUGCCAUAACAAACUCUUGUAUGUUUGAAUGAACUUCCUGAAUGAAAUCUGAGAUGCUCAGUGGUGAUGACCUUGUAGAAAGACAGCGAGUCCAGGAGAUAAUCUGGGCAAUACAUCUUUCCAAUGUAUCCUUACUUAGAAAAUGCACACUCAUAAAGGAGAGUUUGGGGGGCAGGGAUGGUGGGAUGUUAUCUUUGCUCUGAAUUUGGUCUGGGGCAUAACUUGAUUCUGCUUUUCUUUUUUUUUUUCAAGAUAUGCCAUUUAUAUAUUUUAGUGGGCUAUCG